UACGAAGGGGGCUAGCGUUGUUCGGAAUUACUGGGCGUAAAGGGUUUGUAGGCGGUUCGUCACGUCGGGAGUGAAAACUCGGAGCUUAACUCCGAGCCUGCUUCCGAUACGGGCAGACUAGAGGUAGGCAGGGGAGAGCGGAACUCCUGGUGUAGCGGUGGAAUGCGCAGAUAUCAGGAGGAACACCGAUGGCGAAGGCAGGUCUCUGGGCAUUAACUGACGCUGAGGAGCGAAAGCAUGGGGAGCGAACAGG
rnacentral:rRNA from 1 species